CUUGGCGUGUUUACAUUUAUUUACAUAGGUAAUUAUAGUACUACACAUUUUCCUUAUGAAAGGCGUAUCCGUUAUUUCACUGAUCUCCAAACUAAUUUUAAAUGGAAUAUGAAUACUCAAUAGCAAACACUGAUAUCUAAUUACUUUUUGACAUUAAGAUUAUGAUAUUUUUUUAUAUAGGUUUUGAGAUACAUCGCAAUAUGUGACCCCCCCCCCCCCUUUUUUUUUUUUUUUUUACAAAAAAACACUAAAUAACGCUUAAUAAACAAAAUUUAAAACAUCACAAAAAAGUAUACAGAAGAUUUAUAUUACUAAGAAGUGUGUAAAGUUUGAUGCAAUAAUGAUAAAUGGUU
rnacentral:lncRNA from 1 species